rnacentral:ncRNA from 1 species
CGAGGAAUUCCCAGUAAGCGCGAGUCAUUAGCUCGCGUCGAUUACGUCCCUGCCCUUUGUACACACCGCCCGUCGCUACUACCGAUUGAAUGGUUUAGUGAGGUCCUCCGAUUGGACCCGGUCCGGGCGGCGACGUCCGAGCCGGCGUCCGAGAAGACGAUCUAACUUGAUCAUUUAGAGGAAGUAAAAGUCGUACCAAGGUUUCCGUAGGUGAACCUGCGGAAGGAUCAUUA